rnacentral:lncRNA from 1 species
AAUAACUUUCCCCAUUAUAAACUAUGGUUAGAACGUUUACAAAUGAGAGUCUAAGUUCUCUGUUAUGGAACAGCAAUGAGUACACUAUACUGCAUGGACUGUUCUGAACAGCAGGAGAAGCAAUAUAAACUCAGGUCAGACACUGUAGUGGCAGGAAGCAGAUAAGCCUUGAUACAAUGCUAUGGUACUCUUCUUCUGAAUCUUCCUCACAAAGAUCCCACAUUUAGGUCCAGAAUGAUGCAGCUAGCAAAUAAACAUGCACAUAUCAUUUGAGAGAACAGAAAGAACCCUGAAUAGGGUGAGUUCCUUUCUCUCCCACCUCCAUUUUCAGUGUAUUUUGUUUAUGUAUUCACUAAUUUGGAAUCAGGAAUAUGGUCCUGGUUGGCUCUGACUCAGAGGUCCCAAACUAUUGCCUCCAGGUUUGAAAGCUGCUGGCAGACACGUUUGGCUAGCACAAUGUUUGCAAAUCUGAAUGUGAAUGUCUUUGUAGCAGACACGUGCUCUCUCAAGCCCUGUAAACCCUACUUCUUCCUGUUGUUUUUCCCAGCCCAACUGCCGCAUUUGUGUUCUGGAUCCAGCCGCUUCACGUAUUUGUGUUUGCAACCCCACAAUCUAGAGGCAGAUGGCUGCUGCUGCUGAUACGUGAUAAGCUGGGGUAAAGAUGUGACUGAUUCUUUUGGGAUUCAGACAGGCAAAGUAUUGAUGAGGUUGAUGCAAACACCAGUGAAGUUAGGAGCAUGGGGUGAAGUUGCGGGGAGGAAGCUAAGUCAGUGGGAAGAUGAGGGCUGGACAAAGUCUGAAGGCUUGCAGCCGCUGGUUCAGUUUCCUCUGCCAGGGUCCAGAGGGUAUGGAGGUGAUAGGAGAUAAAGUCAACUGGUCUGGCAGAAAAAAAAAUAAAACCUUGUGCUGGGCCAAGAGCAAGGAAGAAAGUUAAGGGGGUGAAGAAGGCUGUGUAUCCAGGCCCAAGGCUGAACCUCUCUCUGCAUCCCCCAGCCCUCAGCAGCCCCCCAGCUCCAGAGGAAGGCCUAGGUCAAGGUUGGCACUGACGCUCUUCAGAAAACUAUGGCCUUCUAGCCAUACAUAUUCUUUUCACUUCCCAGCACACAAACUUUGUGUAAACGGGCAAUGGCUUGAAGGUUUAAUGGGGCUGGGAGAGCAGGUCAGUUAGGGAAGGGAAAAUUUACCUCACUCUUACUGCCACCUGGAUUACUUGGCCACUGAAUUCCUCUUAGACACAUGUAG